rnacentral:lncRNA from 1 species
AGCAUUUUACAGUUGUUAUCACUCUGGUGCAAUGACAUCCUUGCCCACCUAAGCUGCUGAGCUGAAGAGGCCAGGCUGAUGGAAACACAGCGUCUCAGAUGGGCAGGCAGGAAUGGCAUGACCCUGGGGUACUGUACUUGGGUAUUUUAUCACAGCAAUUCGAAUGGAACUAGAACAGGCAACAUCUCUAGAGCAAUACCUCCUCGCCCAGAUCAAUAAGGACUUCUCCCAGAGUGCCUGGUACACAGCUCCAAAAGGGAAAGCGGCCCUGAUGAACUCCACCCCUGGCUUUGUACUAGCUCAUGCUAUCUGUUCCUUUUCCUGCCAGUAAUCUAGCCUUCCUAACAGCAGCUCUGGGUUAUUCUUUGGAGAACUACCUUCUCCAUUACUUUCCUAGAUCCCUGUUGUUUGGGUAGAAUUGACCAUACUACCUCCAGUUCAGAAGGCAGAUCAUAAGAUCAAAGCUUGACUUAAAAAUGCCUUUCAUUUUUUUCUGCCACCAGAGGUUUACGGAUGAACAUGUAGCCCAAACCAGACUUUGAAGAUUAGCCUUGGGAAUUACACUGCACUGACUGGAAAAAAAUAAAAAACCUUCUCUCGGCAGAUUUUUCUGGAAGGUUUCUCUUUUUCCUCUUUCUUUGAAAUAAAAUAUAUUUUUGAGGGCUGUAGAGAUGGCUCAGCUCUUCAGAGUAUUAGCUGCUCUUCCAGAGGCCUCUGCUUCCAGUCUCAGCUCCCUCACAGAAGCUCACAACUGCCCCUGGACCUGAUGCCCCCUUCUGGUUUCCACAGGCAUCAGGCACUCGAGUGGCUCACUGGCAUAUACGCAGGCCAAAUACUCAUAUGCAUAAUAAAAUUAAAUAGAUACACUUGCAA